rnacentral:rRNA from 1 species
CGUGUAGGCUGCUUUGCAAGUCGGCUGUGAAAGCCCGGGGCUCAACCCCGGAAGUGCACUCGAAACUGCAGAGCUGGAGUAUCGGAGAGGGUCGCGGAAUUCUGGGUGUAGAGGUGAAAUUCGUAGAUAUCCAGAGGAACACCAGUGGCGAAGGCGGCGACCUGGACGAUUACUGACGCUGAGACGCGAAAGCGUGGGGAGCAAACA